GACUAAGAAGCGCCGGCUAACUACGUGCCAGCAGCCGCGGUAAUACGUAGGGCGCAAGCGUUAUCCGGAAUUAUUGGGCGUAAAGAGCUCGUAGGCGGUUUGUCGCGUCUGCUGUGAAAGCCCGGGGCUCAACCCCGGGUCUGCAGUGGGUACGGGCAGACUAGAGUGCAGUAGGGGAGACUGGAAUUCCUGGUGUAGCGGUGAAAUGCGCAGAUAUCAGGAGGAACACCGAUGGCGAAGGCAGGUCUCUGGGCUGUAACUGACGCUGAGGAGCGAAAGCAUGGGGAGCGAACAGGAUUAGAUACCCUGGUAGUCCAUGCCGUAAACGUUGGGCACUAGGUGUGGGGGACAUUCCACGUUUUCCGCGCCGUAGCUAACGCAUUAAGUGCCCCGCCUGGGGAGUACGGCCGCAAGGCUAAAACUCAAAGGAAUUGACGGGGGCCCGCACAAGCGGCGGAGCAUGCGGAUUAAUUCGAUGCAACGCGAAGAACCUUACCAAGGCUUGACAUGAACCGGUAAGACCUGGAAACAGGUCCCCCACUUGUGGCCGGUUUACAGGUGGUGCAUGGUUGUCGUCAGCUCGUGUCGUGAGAUGUUGGGUUAAGUCCCGCAACGAGCGCAACCCUCGUUCUAUGUUGCCAGCGGGUUAUGCCGGGGACUCAUAGGAGACUGCCGGGGUCAACUCGGA
rnacentral:rRNA from 1 species